GUGGCUCAAGGAGAAGAGCACCAGCCUCAUAUGCUGGAGGUGGCGGGUUCAAACCCAGCC
rnacentral:tRNA from 1 species